rnacentral:rRNA from 1 species
AGUGGCGGACGGGUGAGUAACGCGUGAGAAUCUGCCUUGGGGUCGGGGACAACCACUGGAAACGGUGGCUAAUACCGGAUAAGCCGAUUGGUGAAAGAUUUAUUGCCCGAAGAGGAGCUCGCGUCUGAUUAGCUAGUUGGUGAGGUAAGAGCUCACCAAGGCAGCGAUCAGUAGCUGGUCUGAGAGGACGAUCAGCCACACUGGGACUGAGACACGGCCCAGACUCCUACGGGAGGCAGCAGUGGGGAAUUUUCCGCAAUGGGCGAAAGCCUGACGGAGCAAGACCGCGUGAGGGAGGAAGGCUCUUGGGUUGUAAACCUCUUUUCUCAGGGAAGAAGCUCUGACGGUACCUGAGGAAUCAGCCUCGGCUAACUCCGUGCCAGCAGCCGCGGUAAUACGGAGGAGGCAAGCGUUAUCCGGAAUUAUUGGGCGUAAAGCGUCCGCAGGUGGCGAUUCAAGUCUGCUGUCAAAGCACGGGGCCUAACUCCGUAAAGGCAGUGGAAACUGAAUAGCUAGAGUGCCGUAGGGGUAGAGGGAAUUCCCGGUGUAGCGGUGAAAUGCGUAGAGAUCGGGAAGAACAUCGGUGGCGAAAGCGCUCUACUGGACGGCAACUGACACUCAGGGACGAAAAGCUAGGGGAGCGAAUGGGAUUAGAUACCCC